UGAAAACUGCCCCAAAACUAGGCAGCACAAACAGAGAUAAAUAAAGUACACAGUAAAGAGACAAAAUAAUAAAAUACUAUAAUUUGGCCUCCCAGCAUGAAGAAGAAAGCCGAGACCAGAAGAGAGUGGAUUAGAAUUCAUGAGCCGUUUGUUCAGCUUUGAAUUGAUGGAGCCCUGGCUGGCUGGAGAGGCCAGAGCCAACCCUGGCUGAGGCCCCCGCAGAAAUGGGCCCAUUCUCUCAUUCUUCCUCUGACAAGCAGUCUUCUCAUGAUGGACACUGCAUCCCAGCUGCGCAUGGGUGACCAGCUAGCAAAAGAGGAAGCAGGAAGGAAGGAGGGAGGCCCUUUAGAAGCCCACUCUUCAUGGACUGAAGGGCUUCCAGCAGAAGGUGUGGCCCAGAUUAAAGGUGUGUCUUCCUGCCUCAAGAUCUGGAUUAAAGACAUGUUGUCUUCCUGCCUCAAGAUCUAGAUCAGAGGUAUGCCUUCCAUCUCUGGAUUAUAGUUCAUUGUAGAUAUAGUCAAGUUGACGAUCUAGAACAGCCAUCAUAGCACCCUUGGGCAUUUGGACUGAAGAACACAGAAAUAAAUGGCUGGUAGGAUCUCUCCUGAAGAGCCAUGAGGUACAGUCAGGGCCCAAAGGAAUCUGAGGGCUGAAGUUCUGGGUAGAAGCAGCCAGAAAGAUUCUAAGUUCUGCUCCAUGAACACAGCUUCAG